CCUACGGGUGGCAGCAGUGAGGAAUAUUGGUCAAUGGACGAGAGUCUGAACCAGCCAAGUAGCGUGAAGGAUGACUGCCCUAUGGGUUGUAAACUUCUUUUAUAUGGGAAUAAAAUGUUCCACGUGUGGGAUUUUGUAUGUACCAUAUGAAUAAGGAUCGGCUAACUCCGUGCCAGCAGCCGCGGUAAUACGGAGGAUCCGAGCGUUAUCCGGAUUUAUUGGGUUUAAAGGGAGCGUAGGUGGAGUGUUAAGUCAGUUGUGAAAGUUUGCGGCUAAACCGUAAAAUUGCAGUUGAAACUGGCAGUCUUGAGUACAGGAGAGGUGGGCGGAAUUCGUGGUGUAGCGGUGAAAUGCGUAGAUAUCACGAAGAACUCCGAUUGCGAAGGCAGUUCACUGGACUGCAACUGACACUGAGGCUCGAAAGUGUGGGUAUCAAACAGGAUUAGAUACCCGAGUAGUC
rnacentral:rRNA from 1 species